rnacentral:rRNA from 1 species
GACGAACGCUGGCGGCGUGCUUAACACAUGCAAGUCGAACGGAAAGGCCCUGCUUUUGUGGGGUGCUCGAGUGGCGAACGGGUGAGUAACACGUGAGUAACCUGCCCUUGACUUUGGGAUAACUUCAGGAAACUGGGGCUAAUACCGGAUAGGAGCUCCUGCUGCAUGGUGGGGGUUGGAAAGUUUCGGCGGUUGGGGAUGGACUCGCGGCUUAUCAGCUUGUUGGUGGGGUAGUGGCUUACCAAGGCUUUGACGGGUAGCCGGCCUGAGGGGGUGACCGGCCACAUGGGGACUGAGAUACGGCCCAGCCCCCUAGGGGAGGGAGCGGGGGGGAAUAUUGCACAAGGGGGGGAAGCCUGAUGCACCAACGCCGCGUGCGGGAUGACGCCCUUGGUGUUGAAACCCGCUUUCCCCUGGGAAGAAGCGUGGGUGGCGGUAAUGGGUAAAGGAGCACCGGCUGACUACGU